CCCAUUACUUUAUUAUUUCAUUUCCACAGCAGUAAUUAUCAUCAUAUUAAUCAUUUUGCACUGCAGAUGCGGUAGUUCGUCUGCCUUAGCGUCUCGGUCUGAUUGCAUUUCCAUGAAGAAAUGAUCAUAAAUGUUCUUCCUUAAGCUGCGUCAUCCCGCUGCAGUCCAUAAUAGACAGGCCUGAGGUCUCGCUACAAUCAAGCGGCUGCUUGAAGAGAGUAGGUGAGUUGUCUCGUCUCUUUGCUUAAGAAAUUGGGCAAAUCUAAAAAGAUGUUUGGUGGCUAGUGCUAUGGCUGGGACCCCAUACUGUUGAUGAAGUUAGGUGCUGUUCUGCACAUUAUUUGUGGCUGUAGAGUGGCGUUUUGGUAGAGGUUUGUUAAUGGCUCCUCAGAUAGCUGUGUAUCGCUAUUGUGCGGUCAUUACUAAAGUUUGUAGAACUAGAGAAGCAAGCAGUCAGCAACAUUCAUCUCUUGAAGAGGUGUCUAACUCAGUGUUACGGUGUGUUUGACCCUAAACUAAUUUUAUGCCGGAAUAUCCCUUUAAGCGUAAAAGUAGGGCAAUAUGGUCAGGCCAUGUUUAAAGAGCUGGAAAGAAAAAAAAAUCCCUUGAAUUAGAAUAUUUAACAUUUUACAGAAUAAGAAGCUCAAAUAUUUAGUGAGAGCAUUUUUGGUUGGAGUGGGGACACCUUGGUCAUGUCCUUAGUCAUUUGUUAAACAGUCCCUCUAUUGCUGUCUCUUUCAUUUUGUGUUCCCUCUCCUCUUCACCUCCUGCUCCUGUGUGUCUCCAGCCCUGAUCAGCCUCACCUCCUCUCUAUUUUUGGCCUGUGUCUCUGAGUUUGUCGGUUUUACUGUAAGUGCCUUACCUUAACAAUUUUGGGUUCAAGUUUUGCUUCUUGGAUUUCUUCCCUGCAUUGGUCUGCUGUGAUUCCUCCUGCAUCAAGUCUCUUCAUAUAUCUUCAGGACAUGUCCCAUAUUUUCUGGAGCUGGUCCCCUGGCAGGCAGAAAAGGCUACCUACAACACACUCAAUGAAAAUGGCCAGAGGCUGCUGCCAACAAGGAGUUUAAAGAACUUUUUUUUUUAGAAAUCAAAAGUGCAGGGGUGUUGUAUCAUAGAAUGUGCCAACCACAAGGUGUUUAGGCUCUAGACAGACCCAGCUGAGAAAGAAAACACAGAGAUGAGAUGUGGGAUUGAGGCUAUCAGACUCUGCUAUUCCUAUAGAGGAGACAAAACAUCAAAACUACAAAACUUUACACAUAUUUGCAGAAGACAGUUUAUCAGUGAUUGAAUGUAAUGUGAACACUGAGUCUUUUAAUGAGUGUGUUUGUCAGUAAAUAACUCAGUCUGACAUGGUUGGACCAAUGCAAACGAAGAAUAACGAUAGUAUUUCAACAACUGUACACUUUUAUUGUAUCAUUCUAGCAAAUUUAGUGAUUGGAGAUAAGGCCAUGACGCUCGGCUAAAAUAGCGUAUCCCCCUGGUGAGCUACAUAAUCUUUGUGUGCCCAUAGGCUGUAUCAAAUGUCAAUCAUAGAAAACAUGAACCUCAUAAUAACUUUUAACAAAUGGAGCUGUACAGUAAAAAAAGAGGACUUGAGCACAAACCAGUCUUACAGUAACUACAUGUCAACAUCACAACCAAGGGGGAGAAAAAUCUAUAUUCUGUGUAGUUAAUGUCUAAGGUUAGUCCACAGCUCCAUAGGAACUGCUGGAGGAGGCAGGAUUUAUGACCUAUACUACAGCCCGUCAACAGUGGGUGCUGUUCUUGCACAGGCUUCACCCAGGGAGGACGCAUUCGGCGUCCAUUCUAUAUAUAGUCUAUGAUCAUGGAUUGUAAGCCCUGUGAUUGGUCCACUUGAUGGUGGACAUUCCUGGUUUCACAGCUGUCCGGUCUUCACAUUUGUCUUUCAGUAUCUCCCCUCUUUUCUUAUUUACAAUAUUUCAAGAGUGUCAACUUCAACUCAAACAUGAUUUGCUCCUUCCACCCCAUACCCCUUUCUAUACCCCCCCACCCCGAAGGUACUUCUUACAACUAUCACAAAGUUAUUCAAGUAUUGAUGAAUUGUUUUCCUGUUUUCAUAUUCUAUAAUUAUUAUUAUUAUCAUUAUUAUUAUUACAAGGGCUAUUGUGUGUAUUUCCCCCCUUUUAUUAACUUGUUAACUUUGUUGGUUAUUUCCAUACUCAUUUUGUUGAUCUCACACAACAAACAUACACAUUCAAACACACACACACACACACACACACACACACACACACACACACACACACACACACACACACACUUUUGCACUGCAGAUGCGGUGGUUCUUCUGCCUUAGCGUCUCGGUCUGAUUGCAUUUCCAUGAAGAAAUGAUCAUGAAUGUUCUUCCUUAAGCUGUGUCAUCCCGCUGCAGUCCAUAAUAGACAGGCCUGAGGUCUCGCUACAAUCAAGUGGCUGCUUGAAGAGAGUAGGUGAGUUGUCUCGUCUCUUUGCUAAAGAAGUUG